rnacentral:tRNA from 3 species
UUUAGGGAGACCUAAUCCAUUUAGAAAUGUUAAGGAAAUUACCAUAACAACCUAAAUUGGUCUAACCUAGGUCGGUCGCAGACUUGAAGUAAGUCUUUCAAACUAUGAUUUGGUUCGAUAAGGGCUAUUAGCUCAGGUGGUUAGAGCGCACCCCUGAUAAGGGUGAGGUCCCUGGUUCGAGUCCAGGAUGGCCCACCUGAAGCAAGUCAAAAGUAAAAAGUCAAAGGUCAAAGGUAUAUUGCUUUUGAAUUUUGCCUUUGGAAUUUUGAGUUGUUUUUGGGGGUUUAGCUCAGUUGGUAGAGCGCCUGCUUUGCAAGCAGGAUGUCAGCGGUUCGAGUCCGCUAACCUCCACAUUGGAAAACCACAGCAACUAACAAAAGUUAGACUGCUGGAAUAAGUUCCAGUCAGAACCUUGAAAACUGCAUAAGAGAAAGAGUAAAAAAGCAGGCAGUCAUAACAGACUGCAAGUGGUCAAGCUAAUAAGGGCA